AUACGUAGGGAGCGAGCGUUGUCCGGAAUUACUGGGUGUAAAGGGAGCGUAGGCGGGACGGCAAGUCAGAUGUGAAAUACAUGGGCUCAACCCAUGGGCUGCAUUUGAAACUGCUGUUCUUGAGUGAAGUAGAGGUAAGCGGAAUUCCUGGUGUAGCGGUGAAAUGCGUAGAUAUCAGGAGGAACACCGGUGGCGAAGGCGGCUUACUGGGCUUUUACUGACGCUGAGGCUCGAAAGCGUGGGGAGCAAACAGGAUUAAAUACCCUGGUAGUCCACGCUGUAAACGAUGAUCACUAGGUGUGGGGGGACUGACCCCUUCCGUGCCGCAGUUAACACAAUAAGUGAUCCAUCUGGGGAGUACGGCCGCAAGGUUGAAACUCAAAUGAAUUGGCGGGG
rnacentral:rRNA from 1 species